rnacentral:rRNA from 1 species
AAUAGAUACCCGGGUAGUCCACGCCGUAAACGAUGAGUGCUAAGUGUUAGAGGGUUUCCGCCCUUUAGUGCUGCAGCUAACGCAUUAAGCACUCCGCCUGGGGAGUACGGUCGCAAGACUGAAACUCAAAGGAAUUGACGGGGGCCCGCACAAGCGGUGGAGCAUGUGGUUUAAUCGAAGCAACGCGAAGAACCUUACCAGGUCUUGACAUCCCACUGACCGGUAUAGAGAUAUACCUUUCCCUUCGGGGACAGUGGUGACAGGUGGUGCAUGGUUGUCGUCAGCUCGUGUCGUGAGAUGUUGGGUUAAGUCCCGCAACGAGCGCAACCCUUGAUCUUAGUUGCCAGCAUUUAGUUGGGCACUCUAAGGUGACUGCCGGUGACAAACCGGAGGAAGGUGGGGAUGACGUCAAAUCAUCAUGCCCCUUAUGACCUGGGCUACACACGUGCUACAAUGGAUGGUACAAAGGGCUGCAAGACUGCGAAGUCAAGCCAAUCCCAUAAAACCAUUCUCAGUUCGGAUUGCAGG